GAUCCUGGCUCAGGAUGAACGCUAGCUACAGGCUUAACACAUGCAAGUCGAGGGGAAACGAUAUUGGAAGCUUGCUUCCGAUAGGCGUCGACCGGCGCACGGGUGAGUAACGCGUAUCCAACCUGCCCACCACUUGGGGAUAACCUUGCGAAAGUAAGACUAAUACCCAAUGAUAUCUCUAGAAGACAUCUGAAAGAGAUUAAAGAUUUAUCGGUGAUGGAUUUGGGGAUGCGU
rnacentral:rRNA from 1 species